rnacentral:rRNA from 1 species
GACGAACCGUGCGAACGUUGUUCGGAAUCACUGGGCUUAAAGGGCGCGUAGGCGGGCUGUCCAGUCUGGGGUGAAAUCCCACGGCUCAACCGUGGAACUGCCUCAGAUACUGACGGCCUCGAGGGAGAUAGGGGCAUGCGGAACUGUAGGUGGAGCGGUGAAAUGCGUUGAUAUCUACAGGAACUCCGGUGGCGAAGGCGGCGUGCUGGAUCUCUUCUGACGCUGAGGCGCGAAAGCUAGGGGAGCAAACAGG